CACGCCCGCGUUCACGGUCGCCAUCUGUUGUCACCGCCCCUCCGCGGAGCGCAGCUGCUGUGACGCUUACGCGGAGUCUCUCCCAGGGCUCGAGGAGUAAGGUCUCCUGGGAGAUGUAGUCCCGACCUGACGCCAGCGCCACCGCCAGCACGGCUGUAGCCCUAGACAGUGUGGUUUACCUCAGCGGCCUUCGAACCUAACCGGCUUCCCUCAAACCGGUGUCGACGCCUGUCAGCCCCGCGAUCCGGAAGCUGCGUCCCCGUGCGCCCGCGCCGUCGUCUCUCCCGCGCCCACCGCCGCGGUUCCGCGCAGUCCUCUUGGUCCCAGGGUACGCCUCCAGGCGGGCCGGGCUAUCACGCUUGCGAAGGCCUCGCGCGCUGCCGCGUCCAUAGUGUGUGAUCUGGCCUCUGUCUCUGAGCUGAUAAAUCUGAAGUCACUAUAAUUGAUUUUGAAGUAGGGCCCUCCAUGGUGGCAUAGCAGGUUGGAGCCAUG